rnacentral:rRNA from 1 species
AACGUAGGUCCCGAGCGUUAUCCGGAUUUACUGGGCGUAAAGCGCGUGCAGGCGGCUCCGCAAGUCGGGCAUGAAAUCUCUCGGCUCAACCGGGAGAGGUUGUCCGAUACUGCGGGGCUUGAGGACGGAAGAGGCGGGUGGAAUUCCGCAUGUAGUGGUGAAAUGCGUAGAGAUGCGGAGGAACACCAGUGGCGAAGGCAGCCUUCUGGGCCAACACUGACGCUCAUGCACGAAAGCGUGGGGAGCAAACAGG